UACGUAGGGGGCAAGCGUUGUCCGGAAUCAUUGGGCGUAAAGAGCGCGUAGGCGGCCCUGUAAGUCCGCUGUGAAAGUCAAGGGCUCAACCCUUGAAUGCCGGUGGAUACUGCAGGGCUAGAGUCCGGAAGAGGCGAGUGGAAUUCAUGGUGUAGCAGUGAAAUGCGUAGAGAUCAUGAGGAAGACCAGUGGCGAAGGCGGGUCUCUGGACAGUUCCUGACACUGAGGCACGAAGGCCAGGGGAGCAAACGGG
rnacentral:rRNA from 1 species